rnacentral:lncRNA from 1 species
AGAGAUAAGAACCUUCCUGCAAAACAUUGAUAGGGAGUUAAAAACAUCCCACAAUAGGAGUGAUUUAACUCUCCAUCCCCCAUCAUUAUCAGACUCCCUGACCAACCCUGCCCAAAACGAUUUGGCUCAAAUAGAAGCCCCUUCACACCAACCAGCUCCUCCCCAUCCUGACCACCCAGCCCCUCCCCCUGCCAUUCUUGCCCCUCCCACCCUGGUUCCUCCUUCCAUUCAUGCCUCUUACCCUGCCUCCUCAGCCCCGGAUCCUCCCCCUGCCCUUCCCCCCACCCAUGCUCAUGCUCCAGCCCCACCCCCUGUUCCUGCCCCAGCCCUUCCCCCUACCCUCCCCUCCACUCUUGCUCUAAUCUCCAACCCCCAUGCUCCAACAGCUAAUAAUCCUAACAUUGAAAAUGGAGCAAGUAGCCUAGAAACAGUAACACCAGAUAGUUUAGACAGAAGUUUAUUUCCAUUGAGGGAAGUACCCACCUUUAAUAAAGAAGGGAAAUUGGUGCCUGUGAGACACUAUACACCUUUUAAACCUGAUGAUUUAGAAAAAUUCAAGCACAAUGUUCAAUCAUUUGAGGCAGAACCAAUGUUGGUUAUAGAAAAAUUAGAAAAUAUAUUCAGAAACUUUGACCCUUCUUGGUUGGAUGUGGAGAAUUUGUUAGAUACAUUUCUGACAAAGAGAGAGAAAAAUAAUGUCAUCUCUCUAGCUAAUAAGAAAAGUGGUAGAGGAGCUCAUCACUGGCCAACUGUAGAUCCACACUGGAACCCUAAUAUUGUACAGGAUCACACAAAACUAGCCCUGGCCAGAGAAGCAUUAUUAAAAGCCAUGAGAGACUGCUCUGAUAGCCCUGAUGCAUGGGAAAAAUUUGAACAAUCCCGGCAGGAAAUUAAUGAGACCCCCUCCCACUUUAUGGACAGACUUAUUGACGUAGGAAGUACAUAUAUGGACCUUGAUUUGUCCAGAGAAAAAGACAUUAAACAUAUACACAGACAAUUCGU